rnacentral:lncRNA from 1 species
UCUGCCCAGUCUCUGCUCUAACACCUUGUGCCUGCAGCUGGCAGCUUUGGUCAGCGCUGGAAGUCUUUCUGCAGCUCAGGAGAAUAUCUGGAAAGAAUAAAUUAACUGUGGUGGUGUGUGGAGCUGCUUGGAAUAAUGUUUUUUUCAGAGAUAGGCUUUGAUUGACACUUCAGAUCUGCCUGACAAUCUUUUAUUCUAAGUGCAGUUGCUGCCUUUCUUCAGAGCAAGAAGAGCUGGUUUGGUUGCUGUCCUUCAAAUGAUGGAUCUUAUCACGUGGGAAAAAGAAAAAAAGCAAACCACCUGCAAACAGCCACAGGUGUGGACAAGACCAAGGACUGAAGCUGAAGGGUGUGCAAGCUCCCAUCUGCGUGCCAGCCUGGGCGUACUGUAAGGUGGAGACAUCUGCAACUUCAUGCGCUGCACCAUGGAUGGGCUUUCUUCUUGUCAGGAGUGUUUGCCUUUGGGAUCCUCCUAUUGUUGGGGCACCACCGAGAGGAUUACUGUUUGCUCUUUGCUUCUGCAUUCACCUCUAGUCGCAGAUGCAGCCAGGCCUUCCCAACCAGCUGCUUUUCCUGAGCUGCAGGAGCAGAAGACAAGCCCAGGCAGGGCCAUCUGCAGCAGCUGCUGUGCUCCAGCAGGGCAGUCAGGCUGAGGCAUGCUGCAGUGCUGCUCCUCUCCUCUACCCACCUCGUGGAUGCAUCAAGCGCUUCUGUUUACACGGCCAUCAGUCUGGCAGCUUUCCUCAACACUAAAUUUACUUUUUGAAGUUACAUCAGUGUUGUACCCAGAGGGAAUGGAGGAACAGAUGCAGCCUGUGAAGUCUGGCUUUAAUUCACCUGCCUCAUUUAAUUUCCUGCCCUGCCUUCUAAUCAAUGAGUCUGCACUGGCAGCCCUGGGAAUACAGAGGUUUUCUCACAUACAGGAGACCUCUCACCUACAGGAGAUCUCAGGGUCUCCAGCAGGCCAUGUCCCGUCUCCUUCGAGGCUCUCUGUGCCCCAGAAGCACUGCACACACACAGUGGCUGCAUCGCAUUUCCUCCAUGGGGCCACUGGUGGUCCUUCACCAG